rnacentral:rRNA from 1 species
CCUACGGGGGGCAGCAGUGAGGAAUAUUGGUCAAUGGGCGGAAGCCUGAACCAGCCAAGUCGCGUGAGGGAAUCCGGCCCUACGGGUCGUCCCCCUCUUUUGCCGGGGCGCCAGGGCCGGGACGCGUCCCGGCCCGGAGAGUACCCGGAGAAAAAGCAUCGGCUAACUCCGUGCCAGCAGCCGCGGUAAUACGGAGGAUGCGAGCGUUAUCCGGAUUUAUUGGGUUUAAAGGGUGCGUAGGCGGGCUUUUAAGUCAGCGGUAAAAAUUCGGGGCUCAACCCCGUCCGGCCGUUG